AUGGAGUUCGCAACUGAGUUACCGUUAAUUGCAAUCAGUGGCUUUUCCCCCUCCCUUAUCCGGCACGACUCCUCCAGUAAAUCAGAUCGUGGGACAGAUAUUUGGGAGGGGGCAGAGAGGAAAGAAGAGAGAGAGAAGGGAUCGGUGAGGACAGUUACCCUUACUACCCCUUUCCUACUCAUCUUUAAAGACUUUGUCAAGAUUUUGCUUCUUAUCGCGUCGGGAAUGGCACGGUCCAACUGCGGCCAUCUUCUGCCUUUGUGGGCCCGACUGGAGGCGGCGGUUCUGCCUCCGAGGUCAUUCUCUGCUUGGGCAGCCUUUGGCCUCCAGCAUCCAGACGCCGAGCCCUCCAGGACAGGCUGGACAGAGCCAGAUUGGGAGGCUGUUGUCAAACUCUUGGGCUCAAGGGAUCCUCCUGCCUCAGCCUCCAGAGCAGCUGGGACUACAGCCGUACAACAUUCCCCCUGGAGUGAACCUCAGUUUCUGUCUGCAGUGUGGAUGCAAUAAUAUAACAUCUUACAGGCUUUUGUGAGGACCAAGAGUAUAGAUUACUACUAUAAUACUAUUAUUAUUGGGACAAUAAUACAGGGUACAUAAUAAAAGAGGGCUACUGCUUCAGUGUUUAAUUGGAAGGCGGAAUAAAGAGUAAUAGCUUGAAAAUACCUCUGUAAAACAUGUAGAUGUGUAGAACAAAUGAGGUACUUUUUUUGUGCUACUGGGGAUUGAACCCAGGGCCUUCACACUGAGCAACAUCCCCAGCCUUUUUUUCUUUUCUUUUUAGACAGGUCUUGCUUUGUAACCCAGGCUGACCUCAAACUCAUGGAGAUCCUCCUGUGUCAGCUGGGAUUACAGGUGUGUGUCACUGUGCCUGGCACAAAUAGGGUACCUAAUUGCUGAGGGAACAUGGUAGAGUUUGGUUAAAUUGAGUAGAAAGCAUAGCCCCUCAGUAUAUGGUGAAUAGAUGAAUGGAAGUCUGCUUAGAAAUAUUGUGAGCCAGGUCUUAGAAGAGAUACUGAGUAUUAUUCAGCAGAAUAAAAAAGAGGAGAGAGUAUAGAGCAUCCUGAAGGCCAAACAUUUAUAUGUUGAAGAAUAGAAAUUGGAAUGUGCUUCAAUCACGAGGACAGGGCAGAUAAACUAGGCUAAAACAGGAGUAUAGUAAUGAAAGAUGAGCACAGGUCUGGGUGGGGAAUCACCAGUCCACUUGUCAGAACCAGCAACACUCGGUCAGCUUCCAGCCAGCUGUCAUGCAAGAAUCAAGAGGUGACAGCCCUCACUAUGGAAGUCAGUGUGGGGAUUCCUCAAAAAACUAAAAAUAGAAAUUCCAUUUGACCCAGCUAUACCUCUUCUGGAUAUCUUCCUGAAAGAGUUAAAGUCAUCAUAUUACAGUGAUACACACACACAUAACUCAUAAUCUUGGAAGUAUGCCCAUCAACAGAUUAAUGGAUAAAGAAAAUGUGACAUUUAUAUUAUAUGUCAUAAAAAAGAACAAAUUUUGAGUCAUUUGUGAGAAAAUGGAUGUAACUUGAGUCCAUAAUGCUAAGUGAAAUAAAUCAGACACAGAAGGUUAAAUAUCACAUGGUUUCUCUUAUAUGAGAAAUCUAAAGUAGAAAUCAUUUAAAGAGCAAAAUAAAAGAAAGAUGAUAGAAAACAGGGAGAUAGAUUUUGUGGAGAUUGGAAGGGGAUCUUGGGAUGGGGGGAUACUGGCGGGAAGGGAGGGGAAAGGGAAUAAAAAAGAGGUGAUGACCCUGCUUUAGCCUAAAGUUUAAAAUAUCACACAAUAGCCAGGCGUGGUGGUGCAUGCCUGUAAUCCCAGCAUUUGUGAGGCUGAGGCAGGAGUGCCAUGAGGUCGAGGCCAGCCUGGGCUACAUGGUAAGUUCAAGGCCAGACUGAAUUACAGGGUGAGACCUUGUCUCAAUAACAAAUACAAACAAAAAAAUCACACAUUUGACCCACAAGACUAGUCUUUUAUAGAAAGAGAUAUAAUGGUUCGUUUUUUUCUCUCUUUUAUAAGAAAGAAGCUUUUUAAAUUUUCAAAUGGAGAAAAACAAGGUUUCAGAAAUAUCUCUGAUCAGUCUUGAAGUGGAAACUCUUUAUAGCUAGAGUCAGUUUUUUGGCUUUUUUUUGUUUUUGGUACUGGGGAUCGAAUUCAGGACCUUGUGCUUGCAAGGCAGAAGCAGUGCCACUGAGGUACAGUCAGUUUUGAGCCUUUUUCUUUUUCUUAGCCACUUCGUGGCCUUUGCACUGAGCUACAUCCUCAGCCCUUUUUAAAUUUUGAGACAGGUCUUGGUAAAUUGCUAAAUUGCCCAGGCUGAGCUCAAACUUGUGAUCCUACAGCUUCAGCCUUCCAGAGUGCUGGGAUUACCGGUAUGUACUACCACACCCAGCUUCUGAACCUUUUUUUUGGUACUGGGGAUUGAAUUUGGGACCUUGCACUUUCGAGGCAGGUGGUGGCACCACUGAGCUAAAUCCCAGGCCCUUCUGAACCUAUUUUUUUUUGGUACCAGGGAUUGAACUCCAGUCCUUGCGCUUGUUGAACUUAUUUUUAAAAGCUCUCUUUUAAUAGAAAAAUAUCACUCACUUCUGAGAUCCCAGGGAGGCAAUGCAGGCAUAGAAGGUGGCACAUGGAGACAGGUGACCCUGUGGGAACCUGAACUAUUCUUUGUGCAUGUGAAACCCUUCCUUGGCCGGGCGUGGUUGUGCACACCUGUGAUCCCAGCACUCAGGAGGCUGAGGCAGGAGGAUCUCCAUGAGUUCAAGGCCAGCCUGGGCUACAUCAUGAGUUCAAGACCAGCCUGAACUAUAUAGUGAGACCCUGUCUCAAAAAACAAAAAACAGGGCUGGGGAUUUAGCUCAGUGGUUUCGCCACCUGCUAUGCGCAAGGACCAGAGUUUGCAAGGACCAGAGUUCGAUCCCCAGUACAUAACAACAACAACAAAAACAAACUAACAAAAGAACCCUUUCCUUGGUGGGGAAGGAUGUACUGUGUGGCACAAUGGAAAGCACCAAUAGGUAAGAAAAUGUUAUUUAUCUGUCUUAACUUUUAUCAAAUAGGGGAAAGAAGUGAGUCUAUCAUUAAAAAGUUAGUAGAACCAGAGGACUCAUAAUACA
rnacentral:lncRNA from 1 species